GCCUGAACUUUCUCAUCUAACACCUGUUCAAGUCGGAGGAUGCUGAUUAAUUCAUGAUGGAAAGGUAUCAAUUUCACAGCCCAGACUUCUACAUUCUUGAAAUGCUGUUCUCAUGGGAGACAUUAAAUAAGCUUUGAAAUAACUGAAGAACCAAUGAUGUGAUCCCUGGAUACUGGCAAUUGUUGCCCAAGAAACCCUCUCCCCUUGCUAUGGGACUGCUGGGCACCCAAAUAAUGCACCCAAAUAAUUUGAUAGCUCUUGUUACACAGCUCUUUUUGGACUAAAAGGCCCUCAGCAUUCCUGGCAAUUUCUACACUCCUGAAGCUUCAUCUGACGUCUGUGGAUUCUAUAACUCAAAGACCCAGGCUGAUGGCUGGUGGAAUAGCUACCAUCUCAAACAUGGCGUGAUGCUGCAUCAGAGGGAAAAAUAAGCUCUUGCACUGGCAAUGAAAUGUCUACCCUGUAGUGACUUGUGCUUACUUCCACUCACAAAUGAUUGCCCAGAGCUACUUACCUGGCUCCAAUCUACCACUGGGACCUUGUAUUGAAGACAGCAUAACCCCCAAGAGGAAAGGAGCUUGGAGCCCUGAAUCAGAGUAGAAGACAGGCUGAACACCAGCCUUGGACUGUUGUGUGAAUGAAAAACAAGUUUUGAGAUUUGUG
rnacentral:antisense_RNA from 1 species